CCCUUAGAUGUUCUGGGCUGCACGCGUGCUACAAUGGCGCUUGCAACAAGUCUUGCCAACCCGAUAGGGUGAGCGGAUCUUUGAAGAGACGUCGUGAUCGGGACAGUUGAUUGCAAUUAUUCGACUCGAACGAGGAAUUCCUUGUAAUCGCGAUUCAUCAUAUCGCGCUGAAUACGUCCCUGCCCUUUGUACACACCGCCCGUCGCUCCUACCGAUUGAGCGAUCCGGUGAAUGUUUUGGACUGGCGUCAGAAGCGGUUCGCUCCUGACACUACGAAAUUUUGUAAACCUUAUCGCUUAGAGGAAGGAAAAGUCGUAACA
rnacentral:rRNA from 1 species